AAAUUAAAAAAAAAAAAAUUAAAAAAAAAUUUAAAAAAAAAGCUUACCGUUGUUUGUUUCCC
rnacentral:ribozyme from 1 species